rnacentral:rRNA from 1 species
AGUGAACGCUGGCGGUAGGCCUAACACAUGCAAGUCGAACGGCAGCACAGGAGAGCUUGCUCUCUGGGUGGCGAGUGGCGGACGGGUGAGGAAUACAUCGGAAUCUGCCCAGUCGUGGGGGAUAACGUAGGGAAACUUACGCUAAUACCGCAUACGACCUUCGGGUGAAAGAGGGGGAUCGCAAGACCUCUCGCGAUUGGAUGAGCCGAUGUCGGAUUAGCUAGUUGGCGGGGUAAUGGCCCACCAAGGCGACGAUCCGUAGCUGGUCUGAGAGGAUGAUCAGCCACACUGGAACUGAGACACGGUCCAGACUCCUACGGGAGGCAGCAGUGGGGAAUAUUGGACAAUGGGCGCAAGCCUGAUCCAGCCAUACCGCGUGGGUGAAGAAGGCCUUCGGGUUGUAAAGCCCUUUUGUUGGGAAAGAAAUCUUUCAGGCUAAUACCCUGGGAGGAUGACGGUACCCAAAGAAUAAACACCGGCUAACUUCGU